GACGGAGGCUCAGAAGACGACCUGGGUGACGACCUGGGAAACGACCACAAGCCACCAACAAAAUGCUGCUAAAUCUUUGGCUAUUGCUGCUCCCCCAUCACCCCUUCAUCCACCCUCACCAGAGCUAGAAAAUUACAAACAGCUGCUGCUGGCCUACCUUGGUUGUCUCUGCUGGAGUCGCCGGCGGCUCCGUUGGUAUUGUGGGCGUCGUUGAGGUACUUUAAGGCGGCG